UCCAAUCGACCUGGGCGAACAGCCCUACCGAUAGGCGACAGCGCCGCCGCCGGCGAAUCCCUUCAUCCUUUGCCUCGAUCGCUACCUUUAUCCUCUGCCUCGAUCGCUCCCUCCCAUGUUGCCUCCUUGUCCCGCUGUUCUAUGCCAGCCGACGAAUUCCUCCAGCGCAUGCACACGGGAAAGAGAUCACUUGGAGUAGAACUACCCACAUAUAAGAAUUGGCAGGAAAGGGGAUGGUCACAUGAAGUUUGUUGUCAUGUUGAACUGCGAGUUGUGUAAUCAGAAAGUGCUUCUGCCACUAUUGGCUAUAUAAUUUCGUUUUGCUCCCAGAAAAAAAUUGUUGGAAUAAUAAACAUUUCUUGUUCAACUAGGCCACGGUUCACUCAGUCGCAGAUGAUGGCGAGGCGACAAAGACGUACAGUGUGCCCAGCUCAUCCCGUGUUCGAUUGGGCUGGGGCGCUCAUGGCGGCGCUGAAAGGAAUCUCCUAGCCAAAUUUUAGCAUGGAGGCGCCUUCCAGAGCACCUUGCCGCUGAUAGUGAUGUCCGGCGGCGCGAGGACAUGGUGAGGCUUCAAUGAAUCAUCCAUGGAUCCGACGAUUUCAAGGCUUCGAAGGAUUAAAUAUGAGAACAUAAUUCUCGAAACGGAGGAGGUUCAAUUGGUGUUCCUGGAGAUGACAAGAAGGAUCAUUCAAGGGAAGAGGAUUCGUUGCAAGAGAGUCGAAUGCCGGCACGGGCGGUCCUCUCAAAGGGCUCAUUACAGCAUCACAAAGACACGGGCAACGGUGCUACUGCUGAUGGUAGAGAGAAGAUCAACGGCAAGGGAGGCAAGGGAAAAACUGAGGGUCAAGUCAAAGAGGGUUUACAACUAGGUAUAAAGCUUCACGAGGACUCACCUUCUUGGGAUGGAAGAUGAUCAGUUACUGAUAAGUUAUAAAAUUUCAAUAUUUUGGUGAUGGUACCGACUGGGUGUUCUUCCAGAUUUACUUCUAUCAUGUGUAUUAAAACACGUUCAGCUUAUGUAGAUGAUGCACAAAUACUGCAGUAAAAGUAAAUACAUUACCUGUAAAUUGAACUGUUGAUUUAGUAAUUCUACUUAUGGUCCAGCGAUCGAUCAAUUGUUGAGGCUACACUGAACCAAAAAUUGCUUACUGGGGCAGUACUAUAGUCUCUUGAUUAUGCUCUCAAGUAAAUAUCAUGUCUUCCUCUAAUUAGAAAUUUAGAAAACAAUAGGUUAAUCAGAAGCUUUCUUACAAAAAGAGUGCUCUUCAGAAGCUACUACAUGUAUACGCGAACAUCACAUGCAUGUUUUCUUAAUUUUCAGGUGCUUGUGAAUAUGUGCGGAAGUACAGUAGCCUGUAGCUUUGUAGGCGUUGAACUAAAUACCAAUCCAAGUAGGAGUGAAAGGAAGAUAAUAUAGGUUUUGAUCCGCCAAAAGGUCUAUUUAUUCUCAUUUCAGUUAAAAUUUACCUCUAAAACAUUGCAUGAAAUCCUGCGCAUAUUGGAUACUUUAUUUAUGCACCUUCUUGCAUUUUAAUUCCAUGUAAGUUGUGUACUCUAUUUAAUAAGUUAUUUGUAUUUUGGCUACAAAUGAUUUUAUUGGAUAUACUGUAGACAUUUUCCGCAGUGACUGUUGCAGCUUGCUAGACAUAGGAAAAGAUGGGAGUCAAUCCAAGAUGACAUCA